AAAAAAUAUAAUUAUGGUUAUAUUAUAAAUUAAAUUAAUAUUUUAUAUAUAAUUUAUUAAAAUUAAAUAUACUAUUUAAAUGAGAUAAAAUUAAUAAAAAAUUCUUAAUAUAAAAUUUUUAAUGAAAAUUAAAUGAGGGAAUUAAAAUUAAUAAUUGUAAAUUAAAGUGCCAGCAAUAGCGGUUAAACUUAUAUUAUAAGUUUGUAAUUAAUAAAUUUUAUUAAAAUAAAUAAAUUUAUAUAAAAAUUAAUAAUUAUAGGUGAAAUUUAAAUUAUUAAAGUGAAUAUAAUUUUAUAUUUAUUAAAAUAUGAAGAUUUAAUAUUAAACUAGGAUUAGAUACCCUAUUAUAUUUAUAUAAAAUAAUAUUUUUAUAAUUAAAUGUUGAAUCAUUAAAAUAAAGUAAUAUGGCAGCCUUUUAAACUUUUUAGGGAAAUUUGUUGUUUAAUUUGAUAAUCCACGAUAAGAUUUACUUAAAUUAUAUUUAUGUAUUGUUAUUAUAAUUUAUAAAUAGAAAAAUAUAAAUAAAUAUUUUAUAAAAUAAUAUUUUAAAUCAAAAUGUAGUAUAUUUAAGAAUAAAUGAAUUAUAAAAUAUUAAAUUUUUGAAUAAUUAUUUUUAAUAUUAAUUUGAAAGAGGAUUUAAUAGUAAAUUAAUUUAAUUAUUUUAGUUGAAUAAAGUAUUAAUUGGUGUACAAAUUGCCCGUCAAUUUCUAAUAGGAAUAAGUCGUAACAUAGUAAAGGUACUGGAAAGUGUUUUUAGAUAAA
rnacentral:ncRNA from 1 species